UGAGAAGCAUUAUUUGCUUAAACCUGAAAACGGGCUCCUCUACAGGGGCAGAGGAGCCCGUUUGCUGUGUUUUGCAUGAGCUGCUGAUCUGUGUGUGCACCUCCCGAUCUAAAGGAGGCAGUGACUCAUGGACAAAGUCCAAAAUUUGAUCCUCAGCAUCUCCAGGUAAAAGAAUCAGGUGAUGCAAAAGAUCUCUGUCUGUGACCUUGGAAAAUUUGACCAGUCAGAGUAGAUGCUCAUAGGCUGGAUGGACAAAUAUUUGAUCUGUUAUAAGGCAGUUUUCCAGCCAGAAUGCAAACAAGGAGAAAGUUCAUGGUGAGCUCCGGCACCUCUUUUUCUAGAAAAAUUGCAUGGCUGAUUGUCAUCAAAUUGCAUGGCUGGUGCUCUGUAUGAAACCCACAGAGCACCACUGCUGACAUUCUUGCUGCCCAGAGGUUGCAAUGAGCAUAUUUUGAUCCAAGAUCAAAACAAGUCACAGACAGGAGGCGGGAUGCUGUCUGAGAAAUUAAGGUUGGCUGGAGGAACAGGAUCUGCAAAGAACUUGUGAUGAUGCACUGAUGCUCAGUAUUACCAAAACAAUUUGCCAGCUGACUAAUGAUGCUUAGGAUGAAGGAAGUAUUCUCUCUGUUCCCAUUUUACACAGGAUGGACCAGGCACACCUAGAGACUAAGGCUCAGUGCUCACAAACAGCAGAUGAGCUGGUCAACGUGCUCCUGGGCUUCAGUACUUCAGCGAAGAGCAAGUGGAGGAUCUGUAUGACUUCAUUCAAAACAAUUAUUUAAAUGGUUUUCGCCUUGCCUUCUCUCUGAG